CAACAGGUACUGCGAGUCCAGUCAAAGCUGAUGAUACAGGCAAUGCAACAGACGUUUGCUUCAUCGUCGUAUGUUGCCUAAUGGCGUUGUCUCUUGUUUACUCAGCUGUAGCAACAACACUUAUUGUCAGACUUCGACAACAACAAGCCCAAACCAAAGCUGAACUUGAGAAACAGUAUAUGUCACUGGAAACUCGGGGGGAAUCAUCUGUCUAUGACGUCAUUGCAGGAACUCAUACAUACUGCAAUGACGUACAGCCUGGGGGCUGUGAUUAUGAAAACACCAACAUGCAUGUCACGAAUUCCUUAUAGAUACCAAUAUCAUCCACGCGGCUCAGGGAAACAUAUGUGACUGAUACAGUGACAUGCCAUUGGAAUACAUUUUGGGGUACAUGAAAACACUCUUGUGGCUUCGGUGGAAUUACAUUUUUAGUUGGCUUUCACAUGGAAGGGAUGCACACUCUGUUCACGACCGCUUCUGAUAACGACAAUGAUGCACAAUGCAUCUCAUUCAACUCAUCUUUAGUUACACAUCUGGUACUCGUCAUAUAUAGCUGUAAGAGGCAAAUAACGGGAUCGGGUGGUCAGGGAUGCUGACUUGGUGGAUGCAUGUCAUCGUAUCGCAAUUGUGAUAAUCGAUGUUGAUGAUGUUUGUCACUUGAUUGUCUGGUCAAGACUCCAUAAUCUACAGACCGUCGUCAUAUAGAUGGAAUAUUGCUGACUGCGGCGUUAAAAAGCGAACAAACAAACCAUAUACUGCCUGAAUAUUGACAUAUGUGCAAGUAAAAGCAAUCAGGCCUCAUAGGUUCAAAACGCCAUUUAACUGGCAGCAAAUAUAUGUCAGAGGCAGGUGCCAGUGGUAGGCCAGAACAUGCCCACUAUUUCGCGAAAACCAGUGCUGUAUUCAUAUAAUUAUCGCCCAACCUUACCUUUCAGAUGUUAUCCGUUUCUUUGGAAAAUCGAGAUUGCUUGCUCUCAGACAAUGACAUUUAAUAUUUACUGAAUAUAAAUAUUUUUCUAUAUUCAAUUUAUCAUACUGAGUUACAUUUGCAGUAGGUUGCUGUUUGUUCCCUGUGUAUCACUGUAUCGGCAAGUACAGCUAUCAUCAAUGCAGUGCUCGCUAUGACUGUUUUAUGUGGACACUGGUAUGUAGCUUACUCCAACAUGCAUCCCGUGCCAUUUAAAAACAUAUCAUAUCUCACACAAUAAUUACUCUACUACGCAUCUUGUGCCAUAUAAAUACAUAUCAUACCUCAAUGGGUAAUCACUUCACAACGCAUGUCGUAUCUUAUACAUACAUAUCAUACACUCACUGGGUAAUGUUUCCAGAACGCAUGUCGUAUCACAUAAAAGCAUAUAACUCAGGGGUUAAGACGUCUCAUAUUAUAUCAAUAUAUAUCCUAAACCACUGGGUGCCAUGGUUCAUUCGAGUAUUUUGAUGUUACUCCUUUCACUGCAUGAACUACAUCACCUUGGUUGACGUGAGACAUUUCAGGCGACAAUUGUGCCCUUUUAUGACCCAAGCUAUAACAGACGAAAGCUUUGUGACGUAUGUUACUGUACCAAUACAAGGAGUCAUGAAGUGAUGUUUAACUUUUCUCAGUCGGGAAGCGGGUGUGUCUGAAUACUUACAGUUUGUCAACGCGUAGUUACGAAGCAGGUAGUGAUAAGAAAA